rnacentral:rRNA from 1 species
UACAGAGGUCUCAAGCGUUGUUCGGAAUUACUGGGCGUAAAGGGUGCGUAGGCGGCGCGGUAAGUCGGGUGUGAAAUCUCGGAGCUUAACUCCGAAACUGCAUUCGAUACUGCCGUGCUUGAGGACUGGAGAGGAGACUGGAAUUUACGGUGUAGCGGUGAAAUGCGUAGAUAUCGUAAGGAAGACCAGUGGCGAAGGCGGGUCUCUGGACAGUUCCUGACGCUGAGGCACGAAGGCCCAGGGGAGCGAAACGGG